GCCACAAACACAGAGAAGAUUAAACUAGAAUCAGUACAGUCUAGUAUAAUAGUCUUUCCUGUCACAAAAUCAAACCAAAAUACAAUACAAAGCCCCAUCUUCCGCAAAGGGGACGGAGACCUUAUCAUAAUGGCCACAAAGGAGAGAGUACACCACCACCACACAGGUCAGCAUUGCUGCAUACAGUGACCCGCCGAUUUCCACCAAAAACAUAUAUUCCCCAAAAAUCGAAAACACAUCAGCCCUGGAACGUUCCUCCUAAAGUCACCUUCUCCAUCACACCUAAAUCUGCCAAUGCAUCUAAGAGAAAACAACAACCAAUCACAACACCAAGGUAUAUACCAGAAGACCGACACCAAGAGAAUGAAGAGAAUUGGUGCAAGCACCAGAGCAGGAACCGUAGCAAAAGCUCUAAAUACAAUCCGGAAAAUGAGUGACAAAGCCCUUAUAGAUAUGGUUGUUGUAUCCCAAAGAAGAUUCCGUAUCCAAAAAUAGGAUGAGAAGUUGAGGAAGAAAUAAAUCUGGUUGAAAGGGUUGUUUGGUGGAGAACGAAUGACACAAAAUUGGCAUGAGACAUUUAAUCUCAGCACAGAGUAUAAGGCGCAAGCAUACACAACAGAGGGAGAAGCACCCAACUCUCAAAGAGAGCCACAGGCACAGCCAAACAGGCUCAAAUUGAAAGAAGACUAGCUCCACCAAAAGCCCAAGACAUGGUAGAAGGGGGAUAGCAAAAUGAGAGAAAGAAAACCGAAAGAAAAGAAGAAGAAAAAAAAACCAAGAAAAUCGAAAAUUGCUCUGUAAAAACAGAGCAGCUCCCAAGAGGUGGAAGAUGAAAAGGCAGGAGAAAGGGGACGAAUGAGCAACCUAGAAAAGAAAGAGAGAGGAAGAUGAGGAAAUAAAAGAAAAAAAACCAGAAAAAGAG
rnacentral:lncRNA from 1 species